AAUGGUAUGGGCACUUGUUUUCAUCCCAUACCAAACCCAUGUUAACAUCUAACAUCCAAAUGCUAGAUGCUAACACGUGUGGGUUUGGUAUGGGAUGAAAACAAGUGGCCAUACCAUU
rnacentral:miRNA from 1 species